CAACCACCCAGUUUGGGGUCUAGAGGAUGAGGUCAAGCCUCCCUCUGAGCUCUGGCGUGGCUGCUUACCAAUUCCAUUUGGAACCCAGAGAGGGGUCUGGGUGGCAGAGGGCUGCUCUGCUCUGAACUGUGUCCCCCAGCACACUCCUAGGUGGAAGCCCUGAUCCCGAAUAUGGCUGCCCUUGGAGAAGGGCCUAGAGCAGACCAAGGGGAAAUGAGGUCAUAAGGACAAGGCCCUAAUGAUACAGAAUCCAGAACUUUAUAAGAAGAAAUACCGGUGAGAUGCCUCUCUCCCCCGCCACUCACCUGCCCCUGUCCUCCCUCACCACGUGAGCCCAGCAGUCCACAAGCCAGAAAGCGAGCCCUCAUCAAGCUGAACCAGCUGACAACUGGACCUGACCUUCUCAGAACCAGCACCGAGAAGAGAGGCUGAAGUUCAAUCUUGACAGGCAGCAAGCCCGUAACCAAUGGAGCACACAACCCAGAAGACACAAGAAGCCCUCCAGCCAAGAUCCCAGACAGUGACUUGGGCCCUGGAUGAGGCUGCAGCAGUGGGAGGCUGUGGCGUCAGCAGGUCUGUGUGUAUGGUCAUCAGGGAAGGCUUCAUAGCGGAGGCGGUGCUGCGGCAGGGCUGUGAGGGGUAGAUAGGAACCCACCCAUGGACGACAAGCUGAGCCUCUGGGACUUCUGUUGGCUGUGUGCACUGCGCUGGUCUGUUGCACACUUCUCUCAGGCCGCACGAUGAGCCCGGAGGACAAACUGUGCCAUCAGCAUCCUGGUUUUGUUUUUUAUUUGUUUUCCAAUCAGGCUUGGAGAGGCUGCUUCAGGUGCAGUCCGAGGUGGGCCUCGGAUCCAACCCGUCAAGGCCAACCCUUGUGUGUAGCCAGUGGGACAUGGGGUGCUUCCUGGUAACACACUCCUGGGACAGGCAGUCCCUGUAGAGGGAAUGGGUGCAAGACGGCAGGACCUGAAGUGGAUCAGACAAGAACCGGCAGGGACCCUGCCCUGCCCAUCUGGUGCUGGUUAGCCCUCGCUGAGUGACUGUGCCUCUCUGAGCCUUGGUAUCCCCAUCAGAAAGUGUAGGCUGGGCUCCCUGGAGACACUUCUAGCCUAGAGGGUCUUCAGCGUCCCAAGCCUGCUGUGGCAUCUCGGGCUCCAGGCAGAGUUCCCGUCCCCACCCCCAGGGCCCAGCCCUAGGGAGAAGGUGGGGGUGCAGUCAAGCUGCUCCCCACUGGGGCUCCACUCCAAACCCAUUUACAGCAAAAUCGUGAUGGGGGAGGGGAUUCUGAGAUGACCUUGAAGUGGCUUCCCCUGGGCUCCCUCCUGGGGACCGCGAAGGGCUCGGGCGGGUGGGGCAGCCAGGAGAAGGCGCUGGGA
rnacentral:lncRNA from 1 species